AACGUACGCUGGCGGCACGCCUAACACAUGCAAGUCGAGCGAGGUAGCAAUACCUAGCGGCAGACGGGUGCGUAACAUGUGGGAAUCUGCCUUUUGGUUCGGAACAACACGGGGAAACCUGUGCUAAUACCGGAUAAGUCCUUACGGAGAAAGUUUUAAUGCCAAAAGAUGAGCCCGCAUUUGAUUAGCUAGUUGGUGAGGUAAAAGCUCACCAAGGCGAUAAUCAAUAGCUGAUUUGAGAGGAUGAUCAGCCACACUGGGACUGAGAUACGGCCCAGACUCCUACGGGAGGCAGCAGUGGGGAAUCUUGCACAAUGGGCGAAAGCCUGAUGCAGCGAUGCCGCGUGAGUGAAGAAGGCCUUUGGGUUGUAAAGCUCUUUUGUCGGGAAAGAUAAUGACUGUACCCGAAGAAUAAGGUCCGGCUAACUUCGUGCCAGCAGCCGCGGUAAUACGAAGGGACCUAGCGUAGUUCGGAAUUACUGGGCGUAAAGAGUAUGUAGGCGGCUAGAUAAGUUAAUUGUGAAAGCCCAAAGCUUAACUUUGGAAUUGCAAUUAAAACUAUUUAGCUGGAGUAUGAUAGAGGAAAGCGGAAUACAUAGUGUAGAGGUGAAAUUCGUAGGUAUUAUGUAGAACACCAGUUGCGAAGGCGGCUUUCUGGAUCAUUACUGACGCUGAGAUACGAAAGUAUGGGUAGCGAAGAGGAUUAGAUACCCUCGUAGUCCAUACCAUAAACGAUGAUUAUUAGAUGUGGGGAAUUAUUUCUCUGUAUCAUAGCUAACGCGUUAAAUAAUCCGCCUGGGGAGUACGACCGCAAGGUUAAAACUCAAAUGAAUUGACGGGGACCCGCACAAGCGGUGGAGCAUGUGGUUUAAUUCGAAGCAACGCGCAGAACCUUACCAACCCUUGACAUGUUCGUCGCGAGACUAAGAAAUUAGUCUCU
rnacentral:rRNA from 1 species